ACUUUGCUUCACGGUUUCACUGUUGGAAGGUGGCUCACUGUUCCAGGAAACUGGAGCGCCGAACCACCUAAACUGGUGAACUCCUCAGUUUUGAAAUGUGAUUUCCCUGCGGGAAGAAAUGAUACUUAUGGAAUUUGUGGACGAUAGAGAACACUGAAGAUCAUCUACUGUUGGCUCCACACCCUGAAGCUCUCUGCGCCAUUUUCCAAGCAAGCGGUAGAUGGUUAAUUAUUUACUUGUUCCACGGGCUCCUGAAGGACUUGGGUGAAGAGAGAAAUACAUUUCAGUGUUGUUUGCUCUAAGCACUGUAGUCUGAAAGUUUUGCACAGGUUUAUAACUGUAAUUCUAUUUUCUUAAAACAAACAAGCAAACAAACAUGUUAUUUCUUGCAGAAACAAGAUUUGCAGAGAAACACCCCAAAUUGGUAUGCAAGCCAGGUCUGAGGAAAAAGUAGGGCAGGCUGAGAUGCCACAGAAGGAACUGAACUAGCAUUAAUUUUUCUAUUUUCAUUCUUUCUGUUUCGGAGUUGAUGUUUGGACAGGACUGCGAAUACAAAAGACACAAGGGAUUCUGCAGUGAGAAGGCAAGAAAUGAGCACUGCGCAAAUGCUGGCAGUCCAGAUUGAAGAUGCUCCCUAAUGUCUCUGUGCAUCCAUCCCCACCUGUACAAAUGAUGCAUUUUCCUAGCAAGGAGGACUUCAGGCACUCUGCGCCUCAGCUUGCUUUGUGUUCUGACUACACUAGAAGGUGAGAAGACAUUAAAUUUGCCUUAUGCAAUGCCACAUUUAACUGAAAUGAACAGUUUGCAAAAAGGAACAGCCACUUGCAUGAAGAUACAAUAGGCCACUGGAAGGAGCUGUCAGAUGAGGACUAGCCUUCAGCCUCCCAGAAUGCCACUCCUCCCACGGAAGUACACUCCAGUCUACUGGAAGAUCAUCAAUUGAGCCUGGCCUAUUUUUCAUUGUGCCUCAUAAAAACCAACCUUCCAACCCUUCACUCAUGGUAAUUCUCUUUCAGCUCAUCUCUAAGAGUUCGACAUGGCAGAAGAGAAUGUAACUUUUCAAUAAAACAUAAAAUAAUCGGCUCAUUUA